GAUUGCUUCGGCAGCCCAUAUACUAAAAUUGGAAUGAUACGGAGAAGAUUAGCAUGGGGCCUACACAAGGAUAAUGCACAGAUGUGUGACACGUUCCAGAUCUUU
ensembl:snRNA U6 U6 spliceosomal RNA